rnacentral:rRNA from 1 species
AGAGUUUGAUCCUGGCUCAGGACGAACGCUGGCGGCGCGCCUAACACAUGCAAGUCGAACGAGAGAUGAGGAGCUUGCUCUUCAAAUCGAGUGGCGAACGGGUGAGUAACGCGUGAGGAACCUGCCUCAAAGAGGGGGACAACAGUUGGAAACGACUGCUAAUACCGCAUAAGCCCACGGCUCGGCAUCGAGCAGAGGGAAAAGGAGCAAUCCGCUUUGAGAUGGCCUCGCGUCCGAUUAGCUAGUUGGUGAGGUAACGGCCCACCAAGGCGACGAUCGGUAGCCGGACUGAGAGGUUGAACGGCCACAUUGGGACUGAGACACGGCCCAGACUCCUACGGGAGGCAGCAGUGGGGAAUAUUGCACAAUGGGGGAAACCCUGAUGCAGCGACGCCGCGUGGAGGAAGAAGGUCUUCGGAUUGUAAACUCCUGUUGUUGAGGAAGAUAAUGACGGUACUCAACAAGGAAGUGACGGCUAACUACGUGCCAGCAGCCGCGGUAAAACGUAGGUCACAAGCGUUGUCCGGAAUUACUGGGUGUAAAGGGAGCGCAGGCGGGAGAACAAGUUGGAAGUGAAAUCCAUGGGCUCAACCCAUGAACUGCUUUCAAAACUGUUUUUCUUGAGUAGUGCAGAGGUAGGCGGAAUUCCCGGUGUAGCGGUGGAAUGCGUAGAUAUCGGGAGGAACACCAGUGGCGAAGGCGGCCUACUGGGCACCAACUGACGCUGAGGCUCGAAAGUGUGGGUAGCAAACAGGAUUAGAUACCCUGGUAGUCCACACCGUAAACGAUGAUUACUAGGUGUUGGAGGAUUGACCCCUUCAGUGCCGCAGUUAACACAAUAAGUAAUCCACCUGGGGAGUACGACCGCAAGGUUGAAACUCAAAGGA